rnacentral:rRNA from 1 species
GACGAACGCUGGCGGCGUGCUUAACACAUGCAAGUCGUACGGUAAGGCCCUUUCGGGGGUACACGAGUGGCGAACGGGUGAGUAACACGUGAUUAACCUGCCCACAACUUUGGGAUAACGCUAGGAAACUGGUGCUAAUACUGGAUAUGUGCUCCUGCUGCAUGGUGGGGGUUGGAAAGCUCCGGCGGUUGUGGAUGGACUCGCGGCCUAUCAGCUUGUUGGUGGGGUAGUGGCCUACCAAGGCGGCGGCGGGUAGCCGGCCUGGGAGGGUGACCGGCCACAUUGGGACUGGGAUACGGCCCAGACUCCUACGGGAGGCAGCGGUGGGGAAUAUUGCACAAUGGGCGCGAGCCUGAUGCAGCAACGCCGCGUGCGGGAUGACGGCCUACGGGUUGGAAACCGCUUUCAGCAGGGACGAAGCUUUUUGUGACGGUACCUGCAGAAGAAGCACCGGCUAACUACGUG